GCGUCGGUUUAGCUCAAUGGUUACUUCACACCAAGUAGUGUCCACUCUCAGGACCGCGGGCCAGGGGUACAAACCAUGGGCGCUGUCCGAUGUUUUC
rnacentral:vault_RNA from 1 species